UACAUGGGGUGCAAACGUUGCUCGGAAUUAUUGGGCGUAAAGCGCACGUAGGCGGUUUGUUAAGUCGGAUGUGAAAUCCCUCGGCUCAACUGAGGAAGUGCAUCCGAAACUGGCAGGCUUGAGUACUAAAGAGGGUCGCGGAAUUCCCGGUGUAGAGGUGAAAUUCGUAGAUAUCGGGAGGAACACCGGUGGCGAAGGCGGCGACCUGGGUAGAUACUGACGCUGGGGUGCGAAAGCGUGGGGAGCAAACAGG
rnacentral:rRNA from 1 species